rnacentral:rRNA from 1 species
UACGAAGGGGGCUAGCGUUGCUCGGAAUCACUGGGCGUAAAGCGCACGUAGGCGGAUCUUUAAGUCAGAGGUGAAAUCCCAAGGCUCAACCUUGGAACUGCCUUUGAUACUGGGGAUCUCGAGUCCGGAAGAGGUGAGUGGAACUGCGAGUGUAGAGGUGAAAUUCGUAGAUAUUGGGAAGAACACCGAUGGCGAAGGCAGCCAUCUGGACCGACACUGACGCUGAGGCGCGAAAGCGUGGGGAGCAAACAGG